AUUGAACGCUGGCGGCAGGCCUAACACAUGCAAGUCGAACGGUAACAGGAAGCAGCUUGCUGCUUCGCUGACGAGUGGCGGACGGGUGAGUAAUGUCUGGGAAACUGCCUGAUGGAGGGGGAUAACUACUGGAAACGGUAGCUAAUACCGCAUAACGUCGCAAGACCAAAGAGGGGGACCUUAGGCCUCUUGCCAUCGGAUGUGCCCAGAUGGGAUUAGCUAGUAGGUGGGGUAACGGCUCACCUAGGCGACGAUCCCUAGCUGGUCUGAGAGGAUGACCAGCCACACUGGAACUGAGACACGGUCCAGACUCCUACGGGAGGCAGCAGUGGGGAAUAUUGCACAAUGGGCGCAAGCCUGAUGCAGCCAUGCCGCGUGUAUGAAGAAGGCCUUCGGGUUGUAAAGUACUUUCAGCGGGGAGGAAGGGAGUAAAGUUAAUACCUUUGCUCAUUGACGUUACCCGCAGAAGAAGCACCGGCUAACUCCGUG
rnacentral:rRNA from 1 species